rnacentral:lncRNA from 1 species
UAGCAAUCAGCGAGACUCCGUGGGCGUAGGACCCUCCAAGACAGGUGUGGGAUAUAAUCUCGUGGUGCGCCGUUUUUUAAGCCCGUCGGAAAAGCGCAGUAUUCGGGUGGGAGUGACCCGAUUUUCCAGGUGCCGUCCGUCACCCCUUUCUUUGACUCGGAAAGGGAACUCCCUGACCCCUUGUGCUUCCCAAGUGAGGCAGUGCCUCGCCCUGCUUCGGCUCGUGCACGGUUCGCGCACCCACUGACCUGCGCCCACUGUCUGGCACUCCCUAGUGAGAUGAACCCAGUACCUCAGAUGGAAAUGCAGAAAUCACCAUCUUCUGCGUCGCUCACGCUGGGAGCUGUAGACCGGAGCUGUUCCUAUUCGGCCAUCUUGAAUUGUAGGCAUUUUUAAAAACAGACUCUGGAGAUGAAUCUUUUCUAGUUAUAUACUUUGCCCACCCAUGGCCACCCAUGGACCAGUCAGCUUGUACUUCCUCCCCUCUGAAGCCCACAAAAUCUCUGGAUUCAGUCAGACUCGGGCAGAUGACAGGAUGACCUGCUUGUGGAGAGGAGCUACCCACUCUGGAUCUCCUCUCUGCUGAGGGCUGCACACUCAUUGGGAUGACCUGCCUGCACAUAGAAG